CGUUAGCGGCGGACGGGUGAGUAACACGUGGGUAACCUACCUAUAGGACUGGGAUAACUUCGGGAAACCGGAGCUAAUACCGGAUAAUAUAUUGAACCGCAUGGUUCAAUAGUGAAAGACGGUUUUGCUGUCACUUAUAGAUGGACCCGCGCCGCAUUAGCUAGUUGGUAAGGUAACGGCUUACCAAGGCAACGAUGCGUAGCCGACCUGAGAGGGUGAUCGGCCACACUGGAACUGAGACACGGUCCAG
rnacentral:rRNA from 1 species